rnacentral:tRNA from 1 species
GCCUUUGUAGAGAAGUGGUUAUCUCAUUGGGCUCAUAACCCAAAGAUUAUUGGUUCGAUUCCAAUCGAAGGUA